AAUGAACGCUGGCGGCAGGCCUAACACAUGCAAGUCGAACGGGCCCUUCGGGGCUAGUGGCGGACGGGUGAGUAACGCGUGGGAACAUACCCUUUGGUACGGAAUAGCCUCGGGAAACUGAGAGUAAUACCGUAUGUGCUCGAAAGAGGAAAGAUUUAUCGCCAAAGGAUUGGCCCGCGUUGGAUUAGGUAGUUGGUGGGGUAAUGGCCUACCAAGCCGACGAUCCAUAGCUGGUUUGAGAGGAUGAUCAGCCACACUGGGACUGAGACACGGCCCAGACUCCUACGGGAGGCAGCAGUGGGGAAUCUUAGACAAUGGGGGCAACCCUGAUCUAGCCAUGCCGCGUGAGUGAUGAAGGCCUUAGGGUUGUAAAGCUCUUUCAGUGGGGAAGAUAAUGACGGUACCCACAGAAGAAGCCCCCGGCUAACUCCGUGCCAGCAGCCGCGGUAAU
rnacentral:rRNA from 1 species